rnacentral:rRNA from 1 species
GACGAACGCUGGCGGCGUGCUUAACACAUGCAAGUCGAACGGAAAGGCCCUGCUUUUGUGGGGUGCUCGAGUGGCGAACGGGUGAGUAACACGUGAGUAACCUGCCCUUGACUUUGGGAUAACUUCAGGAAACUGGGGCUAAUACCGGAUAGGAGCUCCUGCUGCAUGGUGGGGGUUGGAAAGUUUCGGCGGUUGGGGAUGGACUCGCGGCUUAUCAGCUUGUUGGUGGGGUAGUGGCUUACCAAGGCUUUGACGGGUAGCCGGCCUGAGAGGGUGACCGGCCACAUUGGGACUGAGAUACGGCCCAGACUCCUACGGGAGGCAGCAGUGGGGAAGAUUGCACAAUGGGCGGAAGCCUGAUGCAGCAACGCCGCGUGCGGGAUGACGGCCUUCGGGUGGUAAACCGCUUUCGCCUGUGACGAAGCGUGAGUGACGGUAAUGGGUAAAGAAGCACCGGCUAACUACGUG